GCGGCGUGCUUAACACAUGCAAGUCGAGCGGAAAGGCCCUUCGGGGUACUCGAGCGGCGAACGGGUGAGUAACACGUGAGCAACCUGCCCUAGGCUUUGGGAUAACCCUCGGAAACGGGGGCUAAUACCGAAUAUGACCUGACCUCGCAUGGGGUUGGGUGGAAAGUUUUUCGGCCUGGGAUGGGCUCGCGGCCUAUCAGCUUGUUGGUGGGGUGAUGGCCUACCAAGGCGACGACGGGUAGCCGGCCUGAGAGGGCGACCGGCCACACUGGGACUGAGACACGGCCCAGACUCCUACGGGAGGCAGCAGUGGGGAAUAUUGCACAAUGGGCGGAAGCCUGAUGCAGCGACGCCGCGUGAGGGAUGACGGCCUUCGGGUUGUAAACCUCUUUCAGCAGGGACGAAGCGCAAGUGACGGUACCUGCAGAAGAAGCGCCGGCCAACUACGUGCCAGCAGCCGCGGUAAGACGUAGGGCGCGAGCGUUGUCCGGAUUUAUUGGGCGUAAAGAGCUCGUAGGCGGCUUGUCGCGUCGACCGUGAAAACUUGGGG
rnacentral:rRNA from 1 species